CACAGCAUACAGAGCAAUAUCCACAGCACUGCACCCUCCUUCCAAGAGGUAAUGUUAAUAGUCAACAAGCCCAGCUAUGACGAUCUUGAGCAAGCAGGCUCAACCACCAAUACUCCUAAAGAUGGCAGCUGUUAGACUUGGAGGAUGGUCUUGUACACAUGAGUCUACUCUAAAGUGUCCUCCUCUUGCAUCAGCAGCAGAGAGUAUCCUUCCUCUCAGCAUCCCUUUGCUAUUGCUAAUAUAAAUCAACUGUACUCAGAGCAUCACACCUCAGACACAUGCUGCUGCUCUUCAUCCCAGCUCUUUACCUGUUCCAGCCUUGCCCCUCUGCACUUGUCAUUGAAUCUCAAACUGGCUAAUAGAUUGAAUUCUUCAGCACUUGACUACAGAUUAAAAUCUAGUAUCUGCAUUCAAAGUGUUCAUAGUCUGGGACUCUACAGAGAAGAAAGCAUUGCAAAUAUCCAGUGAGAGAGACACUGAAGAGGUUUGAAGAAGACUUACCCCAAAUAAUCCACAAUCAGUGAGAAGAAUUGAUAGAGAUGGGGCUGAAGAGGCAUGCAGAGCCAGACUUAAGCUCUCUCUGGAGUUUGGGGUCCAUUUGAUGAUGCUGUGCCAUGACUGACUGCUUGAGUACCUAGAACUGCUGCGCUGAGUGGCAGAAAUGAGGAUUCUCUGCAGGAAAGGCUACUCAGCUGCAAGAAAUAUGCCCAGCAGACAGCCUCCAACUCCUAGGUCACUCAGCCCAGCUCAGCUUUGGAGUCCUCCUGCACUUCUCUGGGAGCCUUGGUCAUGGUCCUCCUGCACUGCUCUGGGAGCCUUGGCCAUGGUCCUCCUGCACUGCUCUGGGAGCCUUGGCCAUGGUCCUCCUGCACUGCUCUGGGAGCCUUGGCCAUGGUCCUCCUGCACUGCUCUGGGAGCCUUGGCCAUGGUCCUCCUGCACUGCUCUGGGAGCCUUGGCCAUGGUCUUCCUGCACUGCUCUGGGAGCCUCAGCUCAGGACUAAGCAAGACCUUGUUGUGGGGUCCAGCCCAGCUAUCCAAAGCUAACCCUUCUAAGGAUAGGCCUUGGAGUCCUCACUCACAGAAGAGACUAUCAGAGAUGCCUAUCCAGGGGAGAGCUCCCCAUCAAUCCCACGAACUUCCUUUGACAUUUGGAGUCCAGUCCACAGUGAACCUUUAUACUGCUAGCUCCAUCCUCCAUAGUACCUUCAAGAAGACCCUCUAGACACACCUGCCACAAGGCUACGAAGAGGCAGACAGGGAGACAGAGUGAGGAUGGAUCCUCAGAGACUAUGGUAUACAAGUCAUUCUUAGUGAGAUGUUUUCUUUCUACAAGAAAGUCUCAAGUUCUUACCAUCUCAUGGAGAAGUGAGUUGACACUGUCUACCACCUGGCCAUGCAGAGAGAGAUCCUCCCAAGGAUGUCCUUGGCUCCUUAUGCAGGACAGCAUGAGACAAAGGUGUUCCCAUCAUUGUUAUCCUUAGUGGUCAACCUGACAUACCCGGGGAAAGGGGACAUCAGGCGAAGAACUGACUCUGUUAGAAGGCCUGUGGGCAUCUCUGUGAGUU